GGGAUGAGCUCAGCUGGUCAGAGCAAGGUGCUGAUAACACCGUGGCCAUGGGUUUGAUCCCUGUACAAGCCA